AAACCAACAGGGAUUGCCCCAGUAACGGCGAGUGAAGCGGCAACAGCUCAAAUUUGAAAUCUGGCCCCCCGGCCCGAGUUGUAAUUUGGAGAGGAUGCUUCUGGCGCGGCGCCGUCCGAGUUCCUUGGAACAGGACGCCACAGAGGGUGAGAGCCCCGUACGGACGGACGCCUAGCCUCUACGAAGCUCCUUCGACGAGUCGAGUAGUUUGGGAAUGCUGCUCAAAAUGGGAGGUAAAUUUCUUCUAAAGCUAAAUACCGGCCAGAGACCGAUAGCGCACAAGUAGAGUGAUCGAAAGAUGAAAAGCACUUUGAAAAGAGGGUUAAAAAGUACGUGAAAUUGUUGAAAGGGAAGCGCCUGUGACCAGACUUGCGCCCCGCGGACCACCCGGCGUUCUCGCCGGUGCACUCCGCGGGGUGCAGGCCAGCAUCGGUUCUCCCAGGGGGACAAAGGCCGCGGGAACGUAGCUCCUCCGGGAGUGUUAUAGCCCGCGGCGGCAUGCCCCUGGGGGGACCGAGGACCGCGCUUCGGCAAGGAUGCUGGCGUAAUGGUCACCAGCGAC
rnacentral:rRNA from 1 species